UCCCUGGAAGAUUAAUUGUUAGGCCACAGUGCUCUCGCUGCUGCGGCCCGGGGUUCGAUUCCCGGCCAGGGAA
rnacentral:tRNA from 1 species